GAAUCCAGGCCCUACGGGGCGCAGCAGGCGCGAAAACUUUACAAUGCGGGCAACCGUGAUAAGGGAACCUCGAGUGCCUGUAAAUGCAGGCUGUUCAGGUGCCUAAAACACACCUGAAGAAAGGGCCGGGCAAGACCGGUGCCAGCCGCCGCGGUAAUACCGGCGGCUCGAGUGGUGGCCGCUUUUAUUGGGCUUAAAGCGUUCGUAGCUGGGUUGUUAAGUCUCUUGGGAAAUCUGGCGGCUUAACCGUCAGGCGUCUAAGGGAUACUGGCAAUCUUGGAACCGGGAGAGGUGAGGGGUACUUCGGGGGUAGGAGUGAAAUCCUGUAAUCCUCGAGGGACCACCUGUGGCGAAGGCGCCUCACCAGAACGGCUUCGACAGUGAGGGACGAAAGCUGGGGGAGCAAACCGGAUUAGAUACCCGGGUAGUCCCAGCCGUAAACUAUGCGCGUUAGGUGUAUCGGUGACCACGAGUUACCGAGGUGCCGAAGGGAAA
rnacentral:rRNA from 1 species